UUCUCCUCCUAUAUAUAAAGGCCUAAAGCCCUACAAAGGUUGCAUUGUUACACUUUCAAGUUUCUAGUUUGGUUUAUCAAUAGCGUGAGCUCAUAUGAAUAUGAGUGCGAGUAAAUCACUACGUUUUCGCAGAAACUACGAAUAAUUAGGUCACAAAAAGUGUACCAAAUUAAACGUCAGAUGAGCACGUUUUCGAGGUGGUGUGAAAGUGACGACAAAGCUGAGAUAUGGAGGAACGAGAAGGAGGAGAAGGAGAUACAGAAAGGGGAAUGGUGGGUGCCACAUCAUCGAACAGGGAUAUAUUUUCCAAUAGGGCAAGAAAGGGUGAUGGAUGACAUACCAAAUGGUGCAGCCUCUCUUCCUCAGACUUACUGGAUAAGGAAUGAAGACGGUGUUGACAAACCCGACCCGGAUUUUCCCAAUAUUGCCCAUGACAUUACUAAUUAUAGUCAACGUUAUUGAAAGUAGCUACCUACUACUUAAUUAGAUAAAGAGGAAAUCUCUUUAGAUUUGGGACCGUCCAAAAAUAACUAGUGCACUUGCUGUUGUAGUAAUACUACUACUAAUAAAUAAGAUACGUGGCAGUUGCUCAUUGUAGAUUGGGGCCUACGUCCAAUCUAUCUAUCUCUAUAUAUAUAUAAAGCAGGGUAUUAGACCUGCCACGUGUACACUCUUUUUGGCGCCGAAUCUUUAUUUAUCUUUUUUGUCAUUUUUUAGUCAAUUUCUCACUUAUUUCGUUUCUUAAAAAAACAAAUCCCUUAAUUACAACAGGAAACAACCGAAACGGCAUCACAGAGAAUUUAAAGAGUCGUAACCCUCUCCCGCGAAACCGAAACGACUCUCAAGUCCAAAGCCUAAUAAACUGUCGCUAUUCACCCUAAAACCUUCAGGCUUUCUGAUUCCAAAGGCACCAACGCUGAAAGAAAAUCAACGGACGGAGAAUCAAUCGUUGUUGAGAAGCUUCAUGUUUGAUUGGUUUUUCAAUCGGAAAACUUCUACAUGUUUUCGAAAAGGAGUCUUCUUUACACCUAGAAAUGUUUAUACGUUUGCCCUUGACAAAUGUUUAUACGUCAGGUGAUUGUCAGGUUAUUUACUUUCUCCUGAAGAUUUAAAAGAGUUAGUCUUUUUAUGAUUCUUUUAAUCAGAAAAAUGCUUAGAGAUUAGAAGCGGGCCUGUUAACUUUCAUAAUGACUGGACUACAAGGUUAAAGUCUGCGAAAAUGAUUAAAUAAUUGUUAUAUUAAAUGUUUAUAUACUAUUUAUGAUGGCAAGAAACAGAGCACGCAACUACCACUUGAGUUGAGUUGGAAGUUCUUUAGAGUUACAAAAUUUAAUUGCAGAAUUUGAAGUGUUCUGGACUAUUAAACCUUCAAAGGGUUGUUGGGGUUUUGGGGUGUGCUGGAGUAGUAAUCGUGUGCAUCAAAGGUUGUUGGGAUUUUGAUUUCUCUUUUUCUUUUAUGGUUGAUGCAACGGGUUGUAUUUGUCUUAACUUCUAAUAUCCCUCACCUGAAGAUAUCUACAUAUAGUAUCGAAUGAUUUAGUUUGGCUCUACCGGGAGGACAAAAUAUGAGUCGGCUGCUUUUAAUGAUUUGGAAAACAGCUAUUUCGAUGGCUACUUGAAAUUCCAACAGUAAGUUUCUUGACUAACAUCUUAACAUUCUUUAUUAAUUGAUUGAUAUAAACUUUUUCCACAAUUGAUUACUAUAAAUAGAUGGGGUUAGUUUUUCACUUUUUCUCACUUAUUCUGUCCAGAUGUUGAGUUCACGUAUUUAUAAUUAAUUAUAUAUAUAGACUUUCUUUAUUGAGUCUUGAACUCGAAAUAAGUUUAUGAGAGAUCUUCCCUAUAUCUUGCCGUAGAUAAUUCAGUUUGGUAUUUGUUUGAAUUCUGGUCGGGGGCACUGUUUUCAUCAAGAUGAAAAUUUAGUCUUCUUCAAAAUGUUGGGACUGGUGGAGUGAGAGAGAUUGAUGUGAUCUUUAUUUUCUGGAGUUGUUUCGGUUAUUGCAGCAGUUACAGUAACAUGGUACUACAAGAUUUUCCUGGCCAUUUUAUUCUUAGAGAGCACAUGAUGUGGUAUUUUUCUUCUUUGCCAUCCACUUCCACCAUUUCUGUUUGAGUGCAAAAUCUUAUAUGUGCAUAUACCAAAAAGAUUUUCUAAUUAAAAUCACAAGAAGUUUGGUGCAAAGCCAGGAACGCAGUAAUUCUCAAAUCUCAAUGCAACUGGACAAGUGUUGUUUGCAAGUCAUGUCAGUGCAGGCGCGGCGGAACAUCAUGAGUACGGGUCUGAAGGGAUGAUGUCAAAAUAGAGGAUGUUUUCAGCUGUGAAUUUUAUUGCUAGAGACCUUUAAACAGGAAAGAAGCAAGUGGAUGAUGAAUAUAUUGAAGAGCUUACCUCGAAGAGAUAUGGGUAAAUUUUCGUGU